CUCUUGGAUAUUCUUUGAGGACCUUUAGGGUUAACUCAUUGACCUCUUAUUCUGGUUAAACAGUCAUUUCGGAGGGAGAUAAAGGGAGGCAGCUGGACUUCUGUCUUUGUAUAAAAAAGGAAGAAAUAAAUGGUUCAUGGGAAAGCUAGUCAUAUUACACCUGUGUUAAUCAAUGAACCUGCAGCCAGAACUGUGUACCACUGAUCACAUCACAACAAGCCUCAUGGCUAAAGGUCUGCUGAGAAGAUAUCAUCCCAACCUUCCACCAUCAGUGAGCAAGUACAACAGAUUAAGAAGUUUGAGAAAUUGACUAAUGAGCUCCAGAAGAUGACCUGUGCAUUGGGUAAACUCCCAGGAAUGCUGACCCAUUGCACCAACAGCUUUUGGACAAAAGAUAGCUACUAUGCCCACUUCUUUGUUGACUGUCCUGACCCCUCUGUGUUAACCUCAAUUUUCUCACACCACAGGAAAAUGCAAGUGUAAUGUCCUCAUGUACAAAUAAUUUUCUUAUGUGCCUCUCAGAGGCAGGACAUGAAGAAAGGAUAGGAGUGUGAUAAGAAUCUAUUUACUUUCUCAGAAAUGCAGAAGAGGUGUUUUGAAUAAAUGUCAUUGCAUACGGCAA